CCUUCUCAACAAUUUCAUGAUGUUCACAUAUCUUUGACAGUUAUCAAACUUCAUCUAGUUUCAUCGUGAAAUCUACCAGGAAAAAAUCUAAUACUUUUCUUACAAAAGUCCUCCACUUAGAUCUUUACUUGAAAUGCGUUAUUAGUCUAAUGUUAAUCCAUCCAUACUCAUCAUCUUCGAGUUAACACCAACACAUAGGUUUUCUGUCCUUGGAACCCNN
rnacentral:lncRNA from 1 species